ACCGGUGGCCGGGCGGGAUGUAACCCGCUGCUGAGCUGGCAGCUCUGUGUCGCUAGGCUUCGGCCCGGCCGCCGCCGCACAUAAGCUGCGAGGAGGAGCUUUACGACUUCCCGGUCUUCGGGGCCGGGCGCAGCAAGGGCCAGACUCUGCGCUAGCAGGCGCUGCGCGCCAACCGGCCGGCACCUGUCGCAGAAGGUGCAACCGAUCGCACUGUCGCGCCGAAGCUCCUCAAUGGCCAGCGCCAGCUGCAGCCCCGGCCGCCCACUCGCCUCACCUGAGCCUGGGAGCUUGAAAAAUCACAUUUGAGAAGAGGAUUGGAUCCUAGCCAUAACAUAAAUAUAAGGGUGGAACCAAAGUUUUAAUCAAAGAAGGUGGUGUUCAGUUGCUGCUUACAAUAGUUGAUACCCCAGGAUUUGGAGAUGCAGUGGAUAACAGUAAUUGCUGGCAGCCUGUUAUCAAUUACAUUGAUAUUAAAUUUGAGGACUACCUAAAUGCAGAAUCGCGAGUGAACAGAUGUCAGAUGCCUGGUAACAGGGUGCAGUGUUGUUUAUACUUCAUUGCUCCUUCAGGACAUGGACCAUUACAUAACUGAAGACUCCCACCUUCAGGCAGGAUUGGGUAGUACGUGUUUGUAACUACCUGGCAUUGCCUUUUGUUGAGGAAGGGUAGAUGUCUACCCAAAUGGAAUAUUGAGUAUCAGAGACUUCAAAUGAUAACUUUUGUUUGUUUGGAGAAAAUCUUGAGGACGUGAUCACUGUACAAAAGCAUGGCAAAAUGAGGAAACCACUGACAGGUGAAGAAUUUGCACAAUGGAAAACCACCUUGACCAUCUCAUGACUUUAUACAGGAAUCGGAGUGAGUUGGACUAUGGAUCAGGUACUGUGCUCAGCAUCAGAAAAUGGGAUGACAAUGAACAGAGUAACAGGACUAUAUUUCUGAAAAAGGAUGAACUUACUGGAAACAGGAUUGCGUGCCUGAAAUAUAUCCAAAUGGAUAUAAAUGUCAACUCAGUUCUGGGCUGGAGAUAUAGAUUUGGAAUGCACCAACAAUGCAGAUGGUAAUCCUGGCAUGCGAGUAGGUGAGAUCAUCCAGGGAGAUGGCCUAUAAUGAGAGCCUACAACAUGUCAGGGCUCAAGCACCUCUUACUGCCUCCUCACUCUGGAACCAAAUGCCUUACUUGACAGGAUCACAGAAUGUGAAUUUUGAACAGAUCUGAAAAGUUAUUAAGUUCAACUCCACAGAGGUUCCUAGGAGAAUGUUAACAGUCCAGACCUUUUUCACUACAUCAACCACGGAUGAUUGGCAUAUAAAAUCCUACUUAACCUUUACAUAACUGCAAUACCAGGAAACAAAUAUGUCAAUAAAAGGAAACAUCAUUCAA
rnacentral:lncRNA from 1 species